GUUUCGUGCCGGUCUCUGGUUCAUCCAGACGUAUUUUACGCGACUCGUAUUGUUUGUCCAGAUAUCUACUUUCCAAAUUCGCAUUAUAUUUGAUCAUCAAUCGACUAUAGUAAUGUUAUUUACCGUUUGCGCGUUUAUUGUCCAUAAAUGCCGGUUAAGUGUAUCGCCCCCAUGUUGAUUUGAUUUUUAUCAUUAGGAUGAUCCAUCGUGGUAGUUAUUUGCCGUGGACUCCAACCAUGAGUUCUGCAUUGUUACAGCAUUCGUUGAGUCUGGCUGUCCGAUAAGCUGUACGAGUACACUGUUUCAGAUUAUAUGCCCAGGGCAUGGGAGAGGCCCAUAGUGACGUUCAAACUAAUACCUAGCAAGAAGGAAAGAGUACAGUGCGACUAACGGUGAAGGCGGAUGGUAGCCAACGAUAUUAUGAUAUCACAGUAAACUCACUGCAUUGGGUCUGCAAGUCUAUCAAUCGGGGCUAUUAUCCAGCAUACUCAACGGCAAGAACCUAUCCUUGUAGGCGAUGUAAACCUGCUCGUUAGCUGAAAAUAGUAAGGAAUUUUUCAGAUUCAGAAAGAUUUAAAUAUAUUCAAACACAGUUGCAGAAACAAGGCCCAAUUUGUUAACUCUAACGCACCAGAAGCUGUAAUCUUUCCUAGAAGGCCGAUGAUUAAAGUACUUCUGUUUACUUUGUUUAAAGUCGAAACGACUUUGUUUCAAGUUUCAACAAUUUUGAUCAUUGCAUACUUGAAAUGGAAAACGAUCCUCAUAUUGGAAUUAAUUAUUUGUAGAUCGAAAAGUGCCAUAGAAUUCGGUUCUUGAAUGUUAGGACCACUACUAUGCUGUUAUAGUUAAAAUACGUGCGAUAUUUUGUAUGUUUUCAAAUUUGUUAGUAGCGUUCAGCAAGCGUAUCGCAAUACUGAUAGUGGCCGUUUGUUGUCGCCGUUGACUGUGUGCAGUUCAGUGAACAUGCAGUUCCAUUCCGGCCAACGAAUAAAACGCGCGUGUUUGACUUGUCAUGUUUCUUCAGAUUAUUUUUUUAUUUAACAAAAUGUGUCUGUUGUUAAAAGCUGUCAAUAAAACCCCAUGUAAAAUUAUAA